UUCUGGUUGAUCCUGCCGGAGGCUACCGCUAUUGGAGUUCGAUUAAGCCAUGCGAGUCGAGAGUCCUCGGGACUCGGCGCACCGCUCAGUAACACGUGGGUAACCUGCCCUAUGCUGGGGAAUAACCUCGGGAAACUGAGAAUAAUGCCCCAUAGCCCACUACGCCUGGAACGGUGAGUGGGUCAAAGCUCCGGCGGCAUAGGAUGGGCCUGCGCCGUAUCAGGUUGUAAGGGGUGUAAAGUACCCUCUAGCCAUCAACGCGUACGGGUGUUGGGAGACAUUGCCCGGAGAUGGAUUCUGAGACACGAAUCCAGACCCUACGGGGUGCAGCAGGCGCGAAAACUUGGCAAUGCGAGCAAUCGUGACCAGGGAACUCCAAGUGCGUAGGGUAAGACCUACGCUUUUCUUGACUCUUCAAAGGUCUUGGAAUAAGGGGUGGGUAAGGACGGUGCCAGCCGCCGCGGUAAUACCGGCGCCUCAAGUGGUAGUCGCUUUUAUUGGGCCUAAAACGUCCGUAGCCGGUCUGGUGCAUUCGUGGGUAAAUCAACCCGCUCAACGGGUUGAAUUCUGCGAGCACGGCCAGACUUGGGACCGGGAGAGGUGUGGGGUACUCUCAGGGUAGGGGUAAAAUCCUGUCAUCCUGAGAGGACCACCUGUUGCG
rnacentral:rRNA from 1 species